ACGGGAGGCAGCAGUGGGGAAUAUUGCACAAUGGGCGCAAGCCUGAUGCAGCGAUGCCGCGUGAGGGAAGAAGGUUUUCGGAUUGUAAACCUCUGUCAACAGGGACGAAAAUGACGGUACCUGUGAAGGAAGCUCCGGCUAACUACGUGCCAGCAGCCGCGGUAAUACGUAGGGAGCAAGCGUUAUCCGGAAUUACUGGGUGUAAAGGGAGUGUAGGCGGGACUGUAAGUCAGAUGUGAAAUAUGCCGGCUCAACUGGCAGACUGCAUUUGAAACUGCUGAUCUUGAGUAUCGGAGAGGCAAUCGGAAUUCCUAGUGUAGCGGUGAAAUGCGUAGAUAUUAGGAGGAACACCAGUGGCGAAGGCGGAUUGCUGGACGACAACUGACGGUGAGGCGCGAAAGCGUGGGGAGCAAACAGGAUUAGAUACCCUGGUA
rnacentral:rRNA from 1 species